CAUGAGUUUGGGCUGAACUCCUUCUGUAUCCUGGCCUUGUGCUGCAGUUUCUCAGCCCCAGCUGAUGAGAUGAAGAAGACUGAUGUUCUGGGAAGGUCACUGGGUGGCCUCUAGGAUUCCUGAGUCUGCAGUGCAUGGCUGAAUGUGAGCAGCACCUAGGCUGAGUCUGCCCCUCCCUCUGGUCUCCUUCCAACCCCUCAAGGGACUGAUGGAAAACUGAGUGGGUCCUGCCUCUUCCCCUGCCUGGGGGUACCUCUGCAGCAUCAUUGUCAGUGGUGACCACCAAAAUUAUCCAGUUCCAGCAUGGUCAAGAAGCUGAAUGUUCUCCUGCAGCCCCCAGGGUACCACGCACGGGGCUGGGCACACUGCAGGCUCCCAACAUAUGGAGAAGGCAGGGAAGCCAUCCUCUCCCAGGAAGGACAGAGUGUCCCUCCGUCCAGCCACUCUGCCUGCCUCCUCCAGCAGGACAUCAUAGAAAUCACAGCAUCUUGGGACAGACAGACAAACGCCUGAUCUCUAUGGCUGGGUUGUGGAGAGGACAGUGAGAAGAGACUACAAGGAGUAAAACAGUAGCAGAGACAAGGAGGGGGCUCCCCUGCAACCCCUGAGCUCUGGCCCACACCUCCUUUUCUCCCACGCGUUCCCUCCAGGGCAUCUCAGAUCCAUUCAACUGUGUGGGUUGAAUGGCAGCCCUCAAAAUAUACGUCCUCGCGCUAAUCCCCAGCCCCUAUGAAUGGGACCUAAAAGGGUCUUUGCAGAUGUGAUUAAAUUAAAGAACUUGAGAUGAGAUCAUCCUGGAUUACCCGGGUGGGCCUUAAAUCCAAUGACAAGUAUCCUUAUGAAGUGACACAAAAGAGAGAGACAGAGGAGAGGUGAGGGGAGACGGAGGCCAGGAUGGGAGUGACGCUGCCACAGCUGAGCAUCAUCUGAGACAACAGGAGCUGGAAGAGGCAAAGAGGGACUCUCCUCUAGAGUAUCUGGAGGGAGUGUGGCCCUGAUACCUUGAUCCUGGUCUCCAGAACUGUGAAAAUAAAUGCCCACUGUCUUA
rnacentral:lncRNA from 1 species